GCGGCUUUGGUCUAACGGCUAUGACACGACCUUCCCAAGGUCGUUGCGCGGGUUCAACUCCCGCAAGCCGCA
rnacentral:tRNA from 1 species